rnacentral:rRNA from 1 species
UACGUAGGGGGCGAGCGUUGUCCGGAUUUAUUGGGCGUAAAGAGCUCGUAGGCGGCUCAGUAAGUCAGGUGUGAAAACUCCAGGCUCAACCUGGAGACGCCAUCUGAUACUGCUGUGGCUAGAGUCCGGUAGGGGAGCAUGGAAUUCCUGGUGUAGCGGUGAAAUGCGCAGAUAUACAGGAGGAACACCGAUGGCGAAGGCAGGUCCCUGGGCCGAUACUGACGCUGAGGAGCGAAGGCGUGGGGAGCGAACGGG